rnacentral:rRNA from 1 species
AGAUUGAACGCUGGCGGCAGGCCUAACACAUGCAAGUCGAGCGGUAGAGAGGUGCUUGCAUCUCUUGAGAGCGGCGGACGGGUGAGUAAUGCCUAGGAAUCUGCCUAGUGGUGGGGGGAUAACGUUCGGAAACGGACGCUAAUACCGCAUACGUCCUACGGGAGAAAGCGGGGGACCUUCGGGCCUCGCGCCAUUAGAUGAGCCUAGGUCGGAUUAGCUAGUUGGUGAGGUAAUGGCUCACCAAGGCGACGAUCCGUAACUGGUCUGAGAGGAUGAUCAGUCACACUGGAACUGAGACACGGUCAGACUCCUACGGGAGGCAGCAGUGGGAAUAUUGGACAAGUGGGCGAAAGCCUGAUCCAGCCAUGCCGCGUGUGUGAAGAAGGUCUUCGGAUUGUAAAGUCAACUUUAAGUUGGUAGGAAAGGUUGUAAACCGUAAAUAACGUUGCAACUUUUGAACGUUACCGAACCUAAGAAAUAAAGACAACCGGACUAACUUACCGUUGCCAGCACGCCGUA